rnacentral:rRNA from 1 species
UACAGAGGUCUCAAGCGUUGUUCGGAUUCAUUGGGCGUAAAGGGUGCGUAGGCGGCGCGGUAAGUCGGGUGUGAAAUCUUGGAGCUUAACUCCGAAACUGCAUUCGAUACUGCCGUGCUUGAGGACUGGAGAGGAGACUGGAAUUUACGGUGUAGCGGUGAAAUGCGUAGAUAUCGUAAGGAAGACCAGUGGCGAAGGCGGGUCUCUGGACAGUUACUGACGCUGAAGCACGAAGGCCAGGGGAGCAAACGGG